rnacentral:lncRNA from 1 species
AAUUUUUAAAUAAAUAAUCCCGUUUUGGUUGCCACUUAAAUUGGAAAAACUUCCUUAUAUACUAUCCUUCGGAGUGGUGUGUAAAAAAGGAGGCGUGACAUACAUUAACACAUUCUUCUUUAAGCACACUUAUAUCAAGAGCCAACAUUUAUCAAGGAAUUUUUUCACAAUAAUCCAACUAUUUUUUUUUUGUUCAAUUCAAGUGCAUUUUUCUCCUUAUUUAAUUAGUUCCACUCAAAAGCCUAACCAAUCACCCCACACUUUAGCCUUUACAAUGCUCAUAAAUGAUUCAAGUGCUCAUGAGAGGUUACAAUAUUCAAAUACAUGGUUAAUUCAAACAAAUGGGUAAGACUUGUAAUGCAGUUGACAAACAAACAGGAUUACAUGCUCAAAGGGGUUAACUACGAUAAAUAACAGUUAAGCGGGUAAAAUAUACAUAUCUGGCUCAACAAAAAAAAUACCUAUACCACUUCCAAGAUUGAAUAAAACUACUAUUUUGCUUUGCAAAUACACGGGGAAAGUUCUAGACAUCAAAUGCAGUGCAUUGAAUAACGCAAAACAUUACACACACAUGUCACAUAACUCAUUCAGGUUGGAUCCAUCAAGACACUCUAGUCAAAGCAGUUAAGCAAAGUUAAGAUAAUAUAAUUUAAGGUACUUCCACAAGAGUCAAAACUGAACAUAAGCAUCACAAUCAAAGUACUCACUAUUCUCAAGGCAUAACCACGUCAAGAGAUAUUUCUUCAAUUCAAAACACAACACAAUGGCUCCUACUCCCAAAAAAACUAACUACACUCGGUUCAAACAAAAUCCUCGGAAAAGAAUCGUGGUUUGAAGAAAAACCAAGGGGUAAUUGCUAAACUACCUAACAAAAUACAAAAAAAAAAAACAGUUAAGAAAAUUUAAAAUCAUACAAUUUUAGUUACUUAUACAAGAGUCAAAACUGAGCCUAAGCGUCACAACCAAAGUACUCACUAUUCUCCAG